rnacentral:rRNA from 1 species
GACGAACGCUGGCGGCGUGCCAAACACAUGCAAGUUGCGCGACGAACCGGGCUUCGGCCCGCGGCACAGCAGCCAACGGGUCCGUAUCUCGUGAGUAACCUACCCCGAUGACCGGGACAACUCGAGGAAACUCUAGCUAAUACCGGAAGCGCUUCCCACACACAACUGCCUCCAUCCAUGGAAGCCUCGGCCCCCGAACCGCGUGCGGCUCGCGGCCCAUUUGCUUGUUGGUACGGUAAAGGCUCGCCAAGGCUCCGAUGCGUAGCUGGUCUGAGAGGACGCUCAGCCCCACUGGGACUGAGACACGGCCCAGACUCCUGGGGGAGGCAGCAGUGGGGAAUCUUGCGCACUGCGCGAAAGCGUGACGCAGCAACGCCGCGUGAGGGAAGACGGCCUUCGGGUUGUAAACCUCCUUCAGGAGGGACGAAGGUUCGCCGGCGAACAGCCUGGCGGAUUGACGGUACCUCCAGAAGAAGCCCCGGCUAACUACGUGCCAGCAGCCGCGGUAA